rnacentral:lncRNA from 1 species
UAUAAUCUUGGAAAGAAAGGUGCAAAACAUAGAGAUAUUCUUGGAAAGAAAGGUGCAAAACAUAGAGAUAUAUGAUAUUCCUGUGCCAAAAAUCUGGGAUAUCCAUUUUGCAUAUUAGGAAAGUCCAAUCAAUUAAGACAUAUCAAACAUACAAAGACUAAAUUAAAGAUGGGGUAACAGCAAAAUUGAAUCAGAAGGCAAAAAUUCAUGUAUGGAUAUAGAUUUGCACAUCAUAUCUUCACCAGAUUAUGGUACACAGUUGAAUCUUAAAAGUCGACUGGGGGGAAUAUGCAACAAGACCUAAUUUUACCUCUCCAGAUAAAAUCAGGAUCCGAAAGAACAGAUGCUAAAACUAUAUGACCUGAACCAAGGCUGCUCAGGAGUUGAUGGAAAGGGCCAUUUCAAAAAAGAAACCAAGCACAGUAUUUCUAAGUUCCAAUAUAUGAAAGUGAUUUAUGAGAUGAAAUCAUAUUUACCUGAU